UUGUUUUUCAUGGACCCUUGUGGUUUAGUAAGAGGGUUAAAGGACUGACAUCUUAAAUAUGAUGGGAUCAUCACUACCAGGAUUCCUGAUGGGGAACUCUUUUUCCUGUAUAUUCUGUGAACCUGAUGCCCUGGAGGAGCACCCGAGAAAACCCAUGAGACCAAGGAGAGAGCAUACAAACGCAAUACAAAAAGCAACCCAGGCUGAAAUCAAAUCCAGCACAAAAAGAUAUGUGACAAAGCCAGAAGGACAGAAAAGGGUGCAUUACGUCUGGACUAGGCUGAAGGACUUUUUUAGAAGGAUUGGAGUCUCUUGCCUGCGUGUCUGCCCUGCGAUGGACUGCCUUCCAAUACAAGGUGUUCCCUUCCUUGUGCCUGCUGCUUGUUAAGAUAGACUCCAGCACCCCCUGACCCUGAAGAGGAAGAAAUGCAUUUCAGCAGGCUGCCAUUGUCAUCCAGAUGGGGGUUACACAAUGGUGGUGGAAGAGGGGAGUCCCCAUUGUCUGUAAAGCGAUUUGAGUGGAGUAUCAAGAGAA